rnacentral:rRNA from 1 species
UACGUAGGGGGCAAGCGUUGUCCGGAAUUAUUGGGCGUAAAGAGCGUGUAGGCGGUCCGGUAAGUCAGCUGUGAAAGUCAAGGGCUCAACCCUUGAAUGCCGGUUGAUACUGUCGGGCUAGAGUCCGGAAGAGGCGAGUGGAAUUCCCGGUGUAGCGGUGAAAUGCGCAGAUAUCAGGAGGAACACCGAUGGCGAAGGCAGGUCUCUGGGCCACUACUGACGCUGAGAAGCGAAAGCAUGGGGAGCGAACAGG